rnacentral:rRNA from 1 species
GACGAACGCUGGCGGCGUGCUUAACACAUGCAAGUCGAACGAAGUGGCGAACGGGUGAGUAACGCGUAAUCAACCUGCCCUUCUGAGGGGGACAACAGUUGGAAACGACUGCUAAUACCCCAUACUGAUGGAGGGGACUGUGUCUGAUUAGCUAGUUGGAGGGGUAACGGCCCACCAAGGCGAUGAUCAGUAGCCGGUGUGGGAGGAUGGACGGCCAAAUUGGGACUGGGAAACGGCCCAGACUUCUACGGGGGGCAGCAGGGGGGAAACUUCCGCAAAGGACGAAAGUCUGACGGAGCAACGCCGCGUGAGUGGUGACGGCCUUCGGGUUGUAAAGCUCUGUUAAUCGGGACGCGGUACCGAAAUAGAAAGCCACGGCUAACUACGUGCCAGCAGCCGCGGUAAUUC